GAGGGUAUAGCUUAGUGGUAGAGUGUGUGCUUAGCAUGCACAAGGUCCUGGGUUCAAUCCCCAGUACUUCCA
rnacentral:tRNA from 1 species